rnacentral:rRNA from 1 species
AGUGAACGCUGGCGGUAGGCCUAACACAUGCAAGUCGAACGGCAGCACAGUAAGAGCUUGCUCUUACGGGUGGCGAGUGGCGGACGGGUGAGGAAUACAUCGGAAUCUACUUUUUCGUGGGGGAUAACGUAGGGAAACUUACGCUAAUACCGCAUACGACCUACGGGUGAAAGCAGGGGAUCUUCGGACCUUGCGCGAUUGUAUGAGCCGAUGUCGGAUUAGCUAGUUGGCGGGGUAAAGGCCCACCAAGGCGACGCUCCGUAGCUGGUCUGAGAGGAUGAUCAGCCACACUGGAACUGAGACACGGUCCAGACUCCUACGGGAGGCAGCAGUGGGGAAUAUUGGACAAUGGGCGCAAGCCUGAUCCAGCCAUGCCGCGUGGGUGAAGAAGGCCUUCGGGUUGUAAAGCCCUUUUGUUGGGAAAGAAAAGCAGCAGGUUAAUACCCCGCUGUUCUGACGGUACCCAAAGAAUAAGCACCGGCUAACUUCGUG